CCUACGGGAGGCAGCAGUGAGGAAUAUUGGUCAAUGGGAGAGAUCCUGAACCAGCCAAGCCGCGUGAGGGAAGACGGCCCUAUGGGUUGUAAACCUCUUUUGUCGGAGAACAAAACCCGGGACGUGUCCCGGACUGCGUGUAUCCGAAGAAAAAGCAUCGGCUAACUCCGUGCCAGCAGCCGCGGUAAUACGGAGGAUGCGAGCGUUAUCCGGAUUUAUUGGGUUUAAAGGGUGCGCAGGCGGAGGCACAAGUCAGCGGUAAAAUCGCGGGGCUCAACCCCGCUCCGCCGUUGAAACUGUGUCCCUUGAGUGCGCGAAGGGUAGGCGGAAUGCGUGGUGUAGCGGUGAAAUGCAUAGAUAUCACGCAGAACUCCGAUCGCGAAGGCAGCCUACCGGCGCGCAACUGACGCUCAUGCACGAAAGCGUGGGUAUCGAACAGGAUUAGAUACCCCUGUAGUC
rnacentral:rRNA from 1 species